rfam:Magnetococcus sp. MC-1, complete genome.
UUUACCGUGAGGUAAAAUCUGAAGGAAACCGAAGGCAAAGCGCUGAUCCGACGAACAGGAAUCGCAUACGAGGCGGUCAUGCUGGAUGAGGAGGCGACUAUCUCUAAAGUCCGAAACCUGUACGGAGAGCAUGGACGUAUAUGCGGCGGAUAUAAGCGUGAAGGUGCGUGUG